rnacentral:rRNA from 1 species
CUGGCGACAAUAGCAAGAGUGAACCACCUGAUCCCUUCCCGAACUCAGAAGUGAAACCUCUUAGCGCUGAUGGUAGUGUGGGAUUACCCAUGUGAGAGUAAGUCAUCGCCAGCU